AGAAAAACAAACGUGUGUGAAGAAACUUUGACGAAGAACAUUUAAAAUGAUGAAAAAAGUGUUUAAUUUUGGGACGGAUUAAAUCUUAACGAUCCACGGAAUAUGUUAACGAGAUGAGUGGACAAAAUCAAUUAACACGUAGUUGUACGUGUUCAUACGCCGAAUACGGAGAAGCGUGGUAGACAGAUCAGAGGGAUUGCGAUUUCAUGGUCAUUCGUCAAGACUCUGCCUGUGUAUCGACAUUUUAUAUGAAAUAGUGAUCUGUCUCAUUUAACUGAAGAAAUCGAAGGAUUCGAUUGAAUUCUAAUCUGCAGUAAGUAUUUUGAUCGCGAUGCUUUCUUGUCAACCGAUCGACUGAAAAAUUACGCGAUUCCGAUUCCGUUCGAACCACACGUCCGUCUGCGAGUAACGGCACGAAAUCUGCUGUUGUCUUCCGCGCAACACAGUGGGCACGUCGAACCAGGUCUAACCUUCUGGACAUAAAAGACCGGGAUCGCUCAGCUUCGCAAAAGGAAUGGAACGUUGCAAGCCAAGUUCAUCACAACCAAAGUUAAGCUUCGGCGUUGCGAAGAUAAGUUGAAGGAAGGCUAACUUACCGAUAAUAAUUUUAUUAUCGCGAUAAAACGAAGGCUCGAAGGUUUCGUGCUGAUCUUUGUACUGAUACAGUUGUUUCACGUAUCAGGCGAGUCCUAUUCCGGUGAGGAGGAGAAGCUGACAACGAUAAUGUACUACACUUCGCCAAGCUUAUACUUGUGAAAAAUAGCACAAUCGAGUCAGAUUUAUUUUACUAUCGAUUUGUACCACAAGAGGUUGGUUCGAUGAAAUUCAACUUUGGCCCGGACUGUCCCCUGCGAUCUUCCAAAUCUCGUGUGAGAAAGUAGCGUCCAUGGACCCGGUUGAACGUAAGUGCGUAAAUCUUUUCGAGAAAUAAAGAAAACAACCAGAAGCAGUCACCUUUUCACACGUACUCAAACAAAUUUUCAUAUACUGAAUCAAUGUAAAAUGAAAAUGAAAAAUGGUGAUGUAACAUAGUUGAUAUAACAUAUAGCCUUACGAAAGUUUCUUUUUGUAUUCAUUAGUUACACAUAAUAAUAAGGAUAAAAUACACUGUUAUUAUAUUCUACGCAACCUUUAAUCUCAAUAUGGAAAAGUGAGCUUAGUUUGAUUGAUACUUAAAUUAUGUAAUAAUAAUAAUAAUUCGUCAUUGCUUUAUUUAACGUACUUGUAAAACUAUCGAAUAAUGAUGUUCAAGUAGAAGAAUCGAUUCACUGGUCACAAAAAUUCAUUUUGAUAUACUUCAUAGGUAAACAAAUAUGUAGUAUCCUUUGAUCUCAGAAGCAGCGUUAUUACCUCUCCAUAGUGAGACGUUGCUGCGUAACUUGUUAAACCUAUGGUUUUUUUUACAUACAAUUAGUUUUAUUAUUAUCAUUUACCAUCAUAAAAACGUAUGUAAUUGUUCCAAUAAUAAUAACAAUUAUGCAUUUUUAUUUUAUAUCACAAGGUAUGAUAUAUAAAUGAAAAAAGUGUACCUUUCUAUAUUACUAUUAAGUCACCUUA